AGACACCGCCUCCACCACAGUUCUGACAACUUGUUCCUAAGUGUUUGUCAGUCUUGUUUGUAUUAUUGCCAGUGUUAUACAUGGCCGGACACUGCGCCACGCGACUGCAUUGCCAGCCACGAGGAAGUCUGACAAGUAUCACAAGCUCGAGGACUGACUGGACUAUAAAGUGGGACUUGUCUUAAAAGGGGCAGGAAGGGGUCCUUCUGAUAGCAAAAGGAAUGACACAACAACUGGCAAGGCAGAGAUGCAGGCCAAGCUGACCACAAGGAUCAAGAGCUACAGAGAAAACAGGCUGUGUCAAUUCUGUGAGGAACCCUGCACACCCUACAGUUUUCAUAGCCCAUGCCAAGAUUGUCAGACAAGAAAAACAAAUCUAUCUGAAAACCAAGUGAAGGAAAUGAUGCUGCUCCAGUGGUAUCUAUAAUGUCUUUAUUUGUCUUGACCAACUCUGAGAAGCAAGUUCGAGCUCAACCAUGCUGUGUGUCUGACUUCUGCUAAGUGUGGAGCAUCAUGCCAUCCCAAGUGCCUGUUAGAACUGAGUGGUGACACCAAUACAGACAGAAAUGGUUCGCGGGCUCCUUACCUGGCAACUCAGAAGCAGGAAUGUUCUGACGAUACUGGUAGGUCAGCUCUCGGAAGCUACGCAGACCACAGCAGUAACACAGCACAGUAUUUCCAGUGAUUCUGUAAUCUGGGGGAACACAGCCAUAUCUGGACACAGCCAUUUAUCAAGCAAUGUCAUUUUCUAACACCAAAAUAGACACACUUCAAACUAGUAGGAAACUAACACAUCAACUCAAUAGGUUAGACAUUUGGAAAAUAAUCCCAAAACCAAUCUAAAUACCAAUUUAGCUGGAUUUUUAUUUAUUUUUAUUUUAUCAGUGUUUAUGUGCAUUAAUGUCUGGGCAUCAUAUGUGUGCAGUAGGUGCAAAGAUGGAUCCUCUGGCACCAGAGUUACAGAUAGUCAUGAGCCACCAUGUAGGCGCUGGGAACCCUGGUCCUCUCCAAGAGCAACGCAUGCUCACAGCUACUAAAAUAAUCACCCGUGGAUUAAAAUUUUAAAUAUUUAAAAAUCCCCCCAAAAGUUUUAAGAUUGGAGAGAGUAUUCUCUUGUGCUAAAGUAAAUUAAAUUAGUAAUUCCUUAUCUGAAAUACAUGGGUCAGAGGUAUUUAAUAUGGUUAAUUAUUCCUUAUCUAGAACAUGUAGGUCACUGGUAUUCUGGCUUAGAUUGAUUUUUCAGAUUUGAACAUAUUUGCGUUUAUGUUCCCAAGGAUUAAAAUAAAUUGUGUGUAUAAGUGUUUUGCCUG